rnacentral:rRNA from 1 species
UACGGAGGGAGCUAGCGUUGUUCGGAAUUACUGGGCGUAAAGGGCGCGUAGGCGGCCUGCUAAGUCGAUCGUGAAAUCCCCGGGCUUAACCCGGGAACUGCGACCGAUACUGGUUGGCUUGAAUUCGGGAGAGGGAUGCGGAAUUCCAGGUGUAGCGGUGAAAUGCGUAGAUAUCUGGAGGAACACCGGUGGCGAAGGCGGCAUCCUGGACCGGCAUUGACGCUGAGGCGCGAAAGCCAGGGGAGCAAACGGG